rnacentral:lncRNA from 1 species
GCUUUCUACAGUGUGUGUGUGUGUAUACAUCGAUUAUGCUUUCUUCAGGUGGGUGUGUGUAUACGCAUUGCUUUCUCAGGUGUGUGUGUGUAUACAGCAGUUGCUUCUCCGUUGUGUGUGUGUGUGUAUACAGUGAUAUGCUUUCUCAGGUGUGUGUGUAUACAGUGAUAUGCUUUCUCAGGUGUGUGUGUGUGUGUGUGUAUCACAGCGGUCUCUUUCUCAGUUGUGUGUGUGUGUGUAUACCGCGAUAUGCUUUCUCAGGGUGUGUGUGUGUAUACAAGCGUCGCUUUCUCAGCGUGGUGUGUGUGUGUGUGUAUACAGCGCAUGCUUUCUCAGUGUGUGGUGUGUAUACCAGCAAAUUGCUUUCUCAGGUGUGUGUGUGUGUAUACAGCGAUGCUUUCUCAGGUGUGUGUGUGGUAUACAGCGAUAGCUUUCUCAGGGUGUGUGUGUUCAGCAUAGUUUCUCAGGUGUGGUGUUGUAUACAGCGGUAUGCUUUCUCAGGUGUGUGUGUGUUACAGCAUAUGCUUUCUCAGGGUGUGUGUUGAUACAGCGGUAUGCUUUCUCAGGUGUGUGUGUGUGUGUUACAGCAGAUAUGCUUUCUCAGGUGUGUGUGUUGUAUACACGAUUGCUUUCUCAGGUGUGUGUGUGUAUACAGCGAUAUGCUUUCUCAGGUGUGUGUGUGUAUACAGCAUAUGCUUUUCUCAGGUGUGUGUGUGUCUGCAGCGAUCUGCUUUCUCAGGUGGUGUGUGUGUAACGUGAUAUGCUUUCUCAGGUGUGUGUGUUGUAUACAAGCAAUAUGCUUUCUCAGGUGUGUGUGUGUUACAGCGUCUGCUUUCUCAGGUGGUGUGUGUGUAUACCGUGUAUGCGUUUCUCAGGUGUGUGUGUAUCUGCAGUGAUAUGUUUUCUCAGGUGUGGUGUGUGUCAUCACGAUAUGUUUUCUCAGGUGGUGUGUGUAUCUGCAUGAUAUGUUUUCUCAGGUGUGUGUGUAUCUGCAGUGAUAUGCUUUCUCAGGUGUGUGUGUAUCUGCAGUGAUAUGCUUUCUCAGGUGUGUGUGUAUCUGCAGUGAUAUGCUUUCUCAAGUGUGUGUGUAUCUGCAGUGAUAUGUUUUCUCAGGUGUGUGUGUGUGUAUACAGCAGUCUGCUUUCUCAGCCCUGGGUCAGACUGAGUGGAGGUUACAAGAAGAGCAGAACAGUCAGGAAGUGAGACUGAUAUCACCAUAGUAAGUAGUGUAGAAGAGAAUUAAGACAUUCUCUCUGUUGUCAUGUGCUACUAGUCUCUCGCUCUUCCUCUCUCCAUCUCUCUCUUCGGCCCAGGUGAACCUGAGUAUCGUGUGUUUCAGUGCAAACCGCAGAC